GUAGCUUGCUACACCAUAGACUGUGAGUUGCGAACGGGUGAGUAACGCGUAGGUAACCUGCCUGGUAGCGGGGGAUAACUAUUGGAAACGAUAGCUAAUACCGCAUAAUAUUGAUUAUUGCAUGAUAAUUGAUUGAAAGAUGCUAUUGCAUCACUACCAGAUGGACCUGCGUUGUAUUAGCUAGUAGGUGAGGUAACGGCUCACCUAGGCGACGAUACAUAGCCGACCUGAGAGGGUGAUCGGCCACACUGGGACUGAGACACGGCCCAGACUCCUACGGGAGGCAGCAGUAGGGAAUCUUCGGCAAUGGACGAAAGUCUGACCGAGCAACGCCGCGUGAGUGAAGAAGGUUUUCGGAUCGUAAAGCUCUGUUGUAAGAGAAGAACGGGUGUGAGAGUGGAAAGUUCACACUGUGACGGUAUCUUACCAGAAAGGGACGGCUAACUACGUGCCAGCAGCCGCGGUAAUACGUAGGUCCCGAGCGUUGUCCGGAUUUAUUGGGCGUAAAGCGAGCGCAGGCGGUUAGAUAAGUCUGAAGUUAAAGGCUGUGGCUUAACCAUAGUACGCUUUGGAAACUGUUUAACUUGAGUGCAGAAGGGGAGAGUGGAAUUCCAUGUGUAGCGGUGAAAUGCGUAGAUAUAUGGAGGAACACCGGUGGCGAAAGCGGCUCUCUGGUCUGUAACUGACGCUGAGGCUCGAAAGCGUGGGGAGCGAACAGGAUUAGAUACCCUGGUAGUCCACGCCGUAAACGAUGAGUGCUAGGUGUUAGGCCCUUUCCGGGGCUUAGUGCCGCAGCUAACGCAUUAAGCACUCCGCCUGGGGAGUACGACCGCAAGGUUGAAACUCAAAGGAAUUGACGGGGGCCCGCACAAGCGGUGGAGCAUGUGGUUUAAUUCGAAGCAACGCGAAGAACCUUACCAGGUCUUGACAUCCCGAUGCCCGCUCUAGAGAUAGAGUUUUACUUCGGUACAUCGGUGACAGGUGGUGCAUGGUUGUCGUCAGCUCGUGUCGUGAGAUGUUGGGUUAAGUCCCGCAACGAGCGCAACCCUUAUUGUUAGUUGCCAUCAUUCAGUUGGGCACUCUAGCGAGACUGCCGGUAAUAAACCGGAGGAAGGUGGGGAUGACGUCAAAUCAUCAUGCCCCUUAUGACCUGGGCUACACACGUGCUACAAUGGCUGGUACAACGAGUCGCAAGUCGGUGACGACAAGCUAAUCUCUUAAAGCCAGUCUCAGUUCGGAUUGUAGGCUGCAACUCGCCUACAUGAAGUCGGAAUCGCUAGUAAUCGCGGAUCAGCACGCCGCGGUGAAUACGUUCCCGGGCCUUGUACACACCGCCCGUCACACCACGAGAGUUUGUAACACCCGA
rnacentral:rRNA from 1 species